UGCCCUGACAGAAAUAUUCAGUUAAAUUUUACAGAGUAAAGGAAAUAAAAAUUAUUUCAUUGUUGAAUUUACUCCACUAGGGGGCACUGCAGUUUAUUCCACACUUGAUGGCGGACCGGAAGUGACUUGAUGGCGGAACGGAAGUGACUUGAUGGCGGACCGGAAGUGACUUGACGGCGGACUGGAAGUGGUUUAUGCCGCUGGCAGCUGCAGCAGCUUCUGUUCAGAGUUAUUGAUUCACCUUCUCUUCAGCUGGGAACUCAACAAACUUUGAAAUACCUCUGCAGCGGCAUUAAGAGUACAAAGCAUGAGAAAAGCCUCCAGUUAAAGGAGCACAAGAUAGGCUCCUCUGAUGUUCUAAACCGAUUAGCGUUGAGGUCUGAAGCAGAAGAAGGAGAGAGGCUGGAGAAGGAUGGAGUGAUCGGAAACGCUUCAGAGUGCAGAAGCUGUGGGGCUCCACGCGGCCAUGACCACGGGAAUCUGAAAAGCACCUUGGAGGACUGUACAGCCGAUCUGGUUCCAAUUCUCUGACUCUUCAUAUCAAGUGCUUUAAAAGAGGUCUAAACACUAAGGUCAUUUUCUGUGGAUACAAGAGGCAUGCAGCAGUGAUAAAAGCCACCAUAUGUACCUAGCCACUCGCUUCAGGAGGUAAACCUAGCUCAAUCCCAGGAAGAAAAACUCCCAUCAUGAGCUCAAGUACAAGCUAAAGUGGACCUCUAAUCAAAGGUAACAUCCGUCCGUCCGUUACUGGUAACAGCCAUGAGAAGACAAUUGUCAACGGUGUCAAACUUCAGUCCUCUACAUUCUAUACAUAGUUCCCACAAGACUGAAUAGGAUCUGCGCCAUUUUGAUAGACAAGCAAAGAAUAGAUGAACCAUGGCUUCCAGACCAACAAAAAGAAAAUAUAUGGACUCUGUAACCAAUGUGCGAGAGAAAGAUGUAUGAACCAAAUGGCUGCUGUCAGGAUCAACCCGUAUGAGACAGAGAAGGAAAACAUGUAAGACGAUGUGGACAAGAUGCCUCCGAUCUAUACUAUGACAUAGUUCAUAGUUUUACUCAGUAAAAACGAAGAGCGUGUACAACCUGAAAUCAAUGAACAAUAAAUGUAAAAACAGAUUUUAAAAAGACGUGCAACUGAAUAACAAGGUUCUGUUGACUGGCGUAGUAAGUACAUGUAGAAACUUACAUGAAGGCUACAUUCUUAUGAAAGCUACAUUAGCUAAGCUAAUUUAGCUAGUUUGGCACUAAGUACCACAGCAAAGAUCUGUGAUAUUUAUCUGAGUGUGAGAGAGAGCACUUACAAAUUGUG